rnacentral:rRNA from 1 species
GAUGAACGCUGGCGGCGUGCCUAAUACAUGCAAGUCGAGCGAACGGACGAGAAGCUUGCUUCUCUGAUGUUAGCGGCGGACGGGUGAGUAACACGUGGAUAACCUCCCUAUAAGACUGGGAUAACUUCGGGAAACCGGAGCUAAUACCGGAUCAUAUUUUGAACCGCAUGGUUCAAAAGUGAAAGACGGUCUUGCUGUCACUUAUCGAUGGAUCCGCGCUGCAUUAGCUAGUUGGUAAGGUAACGGCUUACCAAGGCAACGAUGCAUAGCCGACCUGAGAGGGUGAUCGGCCACACUGGAACUGAGACACGGUCCAGACUCCUACGGGAGGCAGCAGUAGGGAAUCUGCCGCAAUGGGCGAAAGCCUGACGGAGCAACGCCGCGUGAGUGAUGAAGGUCUUCGGAUCGUAAAACUCUGUUAUGAGGGAAGAACAUAUGUGUAAGUAACUGUGCACAUCUUGACGGUACCUAAUCAGAAAGCCACGGCUAACUACGUG